rnacentral:rRNA from 1 species
UACGGGGGGAGCAAGCGUUGUUCGGAUUUACUGGGCGUAAAGGGCUCGUAGGCGGCCAACUAAGUCAGACGUGAAAUCCCUCGGCUUAACCGGGGAACUGCGUCUGAUACUGGAUGGCUUGAGUUUGGGAGAGGGACGCGGAAUUCCAGGUGUAGCGGUGAAAUGCGUAGAUAUCUGGAGGAACACCGGUGGCGAAGGCGGCGUCCUGGACCAACACUGACACUGAUGAGCGAAAGCCAGGGGAGCAAACGGG